rnacentral:rRNA from 1 species
UACGUAGGGGGCAAGCGUUAUCCGGAUUCACUGGGUGUAAAGGGAGCGUAGACGGCAUACCAAGCCUGAUGUGAAAACCCGGGGCCCAACCCCGGGAGUGCAUUGGGAACUGGCAAGCUAGAGUGUCGGAGAGGCAGGCGGAAUUCCUAGUGUAGCGGUGAAAUGCGUAGAUAUUAGGAGGAACACCAGUGGCGAAGGCGGCCUGCUGGACGAUGACUGACGCUGAGGCUCGAAAGCGUGGGGAGCAAACAGG